rnacentral:rRNA from 1 species
AUUGAACGCUGGCGGCAGGCCUAACACAUGCAAGUCGAACGAGUGGCGGACGGGUGAGUAAUGUCUGGGCAACUGCCCGAUGGAGGGGGAUAAUUACUGGAAACGGUAGCUCAUACCGCAUACCAUCGGAUGUGCCCAGAUGGGAUUAGCUAGUGGGUGGGGUAACGGCGCACCUCGGCGACGGUCCCUAGCUGGUCUGAGAGGAUGACCAGCCAUGCUGGAACUGAGACACGGUCCAGACGCCGACGGGAGGCAGCAGUGGGGACUAUGGGACAAUGGGCGCAAGCCUGAUGCAGCCAUGCCGCGUGUAUGAAGAAGGCCGUCGGGUUGUAAAGUACUUUCAGCGGGGAGGCGUUACCCGCAGAAGAAGCAACGGCUAACUCCGUGCCAGCAGCCGCGGUAAUUC